GACGAACGCUGGCGGCGUGCUUAACACAUGCAAGUCGAACGGAAAGGCCCUGCUUGCAGGGUACUCGAGUGGCGAACGGGUGAGUAACACGUGGGUGAUCUGCCCUGCACUUCGGGAUAAGCCUGGGCAACUGGGUCUAAUACCGGCUAGGAGCCAUUUUUAGUGUGAUGGUUGGAAAGUUUUUUCGGUGUAGGAUGAGCUCGCGGCCUAUCAGCUUGUUGGUGGGGUAAUGGCCUACCAAGGCGGCGACGGGUAGCCGGCCUGAGAGGGUGGACGGCCACAUUGGGACUGAGAGACGGCCCAGACACCUACGGGAGGCAGCAGGGGGGAAGAUUGCACAAUGGGCGCAAGCCUGAUGCAGCGACGCCGCGUGGGGGAUGACGGCCUUAGGGUUGUAAACUCCUUUCGCUAGGGACGAAGCUUUUUGUGACGGUACCUAGAUAAGAAGCACCGGCUAACUACGUG
rnacentral:rRNA from 1 species